rnacentral:lncRNA from 1 species
GUACAAGCCUGUCCCCAAGCCCUCACCGCCGCCGUCGCCAACUCCGCCGGCGCCGAAGCCGACUCCACCGCCCUACAAGCCCCCGACGCCUACUCCUCCGGCGUACAAGCCUCCCACCCCGAGCCCCCCGCCUCCGCCGUACCACCACUAAGAAGAUCCACCACUGUCAAGCUGGGAGCCUAGGUACGUGCAAACCACACCAGUCUACAUUCUUGCAUGCACACACCAUUUGUCCGAAGAGCACCAACUAACCAAGUAAACAUUUGUGUUUGCAGGAUGCGGUCGAGAAGAGUUGUGCGAGCAGGCCAAGAAGAGCCACGUACGUACGGCGUCGUUGAUCCUCCUGCGGUGUGUGAGUUGCUGCCGAGCUACUAGGGCCGAUCUCUGAGGAGAUGGAAUAAUGCAGAUGGCUCCCAUUAGUUAUCUUACCAGCUUAUCAUUUGUGUUCGUCCAGUGUUAGCGUCUGUGUUGCUAGUGUCGCAAUGUUGCCAGUGUCACUGUAAAACCAUUAAUCACCACGGAAAUGGAAGUAAAAGGUGUUGUUUCCCGUUGCAUGUAACGUGAUCGCGUCUCUGUUUUGCUGUUCUUCUAUCUUCUUGGCCUAUGGGUGACGAGAUGCGAUGUUUGCAUGCCAGUGAGUUUACACAUAAAAUAUGUGACGUUGAGUAUCACGCUCUGCUCGCACAGGCGCAGCAUGCAUGCCUGCAAGUCCUGCGGCGCAGUGAGCUACAGUAUCUCACACUAGUGUUCUGCAGCAUAUGCCCAUGCGACGCUUAAUAAAGAACAGUAUAGUAGGUCUCUGCCGUCUAGGUGCAUCCCCGCGACCAUAGGCACUGGCAAAGGCACAGGCGCACACGCCCCGAGGAAUGACAUUUAUCGGGUGCAUGCAUGUCUAACUCUAGUGGUUUCAUUUAACUAAGAGGGUGCUUGGAUACUACUUUUAGUCCCAUGACUAAAAGUAGUGGGACUAAAACGUAUCCAAACACCCUCUAAAACUUGUUAGCCUCAUCCAUAUUUAAAUCCAAAUACUAAAGAGACUAAAAUCAAGUUAUUGAGCAUUUAUUAUCCUCCAAAACCUUCAAUUCAGAACUCGCAUGUGUUAAAGGAGAGACAUUAAAUGAUGAGAGAGAGGUCUAAUACAUAUUUUAGUAGAUUUCCUAUGAUUAAAAUUUUUUAAUCUCAAAACUAGUCCUAGCCUCUCUUUAGUCAAGGGUGCUUGGAACUUUAGCCUCUAAAAGAGACUAUUUUUAGUCUCUUGGAUCCAAGCAUCCUCUAAGGCUGGUCAUAAAAAUCUUAGCGUCCGAAACAAUUUUACGUUAUAAAUGGAAGGUGUCACAGAAGUGAUGAGCGGAAGAGAACCGAACCCUAGUACUCCACCUGAAUGCGGGGCGCGUGAUCUGUUUUUAACUUCAUUUUUACGAACUCAGUACUCCUUUCAUUUUAAAAUAGAUGACCCAACUUGGUAUUAUACAAAAUUGGAACUUUAUACUCCUUUCAUUUUAAAAUAGAUGACCCAAAUAGGAGUACUGUAUAAAGUUGGGUUAUCUAUUUUGAGGUACAAUGGAGUAGGUCAGUGUGAAACCUGCGCUGCUGGGGUAGCAUGCAUGGUGCCAACAGGUCUGACCGAGCCUGGUGAAAGAAGACAAGAAGAACAGUUGGCACAAUAAAUUAACUUGACAUGCUGUGCUUAUACUACCAAUUUUAAUUUCAGUUCAGCUAAAUAUGGUAAUCUAUCACACAGAUUUGAAAACCUUGAUCUUUUGGUAUGGCAGACUGUUUUCCUUUUGAUGGAAAGCAGACUGUUUUUCUAACAAAUGCUUAUAGUCAUUGUGGUACAUACUACUAAGUGAGAAUAUACGGAGUAGAAGUUUGUUCCAUUUAAUUAUUUUGCACUGGAGACUUCUCAUUGAGUUUGAAGUAUAAAUUCUAAUCCUAGGAUCAAUGUCACAGUUUUUCAAAUAGGAACAGUAUGGACAAAACGAAGUGCUCCAUUUUUCAUGUCUGCCUGUUCACACGUACUUCAUGGGUUUUCUUGGCCACAUGGGUAUGUCGAUUGGUGUCAGAGAUCCGUGGAUUUUACUUGAGGCCACCAUACACGAAAAGGCACAAAACAUGCAAGAUAAAAGCUGGAGGAGAAAAGCAAGCGCGGGAACCAAGAAAGGCAAAUUAUUUUCACGGAAAUGAUGCUGCUCACAACUUCACAAGGAAAGCGGUUUUGCAAUGUCGUUCGUUUUUCGCUCGCGAGAAAUUCCUCACCUUCCCGAAACAAGGAAAGAAGUUGACAAGAUGGCAAAGAUAGAAGGCUAGAGGAUGUGAUUAUCAGUACUAGCACGGCUCUAAUGUAACCAUUGUUCAACUACCAAGGAGAUUUAAGGAGCAUGUGCGAGCGGGCGAACAUGAGAAAAGACGUAGGAGGGCACUAGCAUGGAUUUGGUAGGUUCCUGCUGGACGUUAGUACGUUGUUUUGCUCAAGCAUUGACUUGAUACUACCAAUUACCAAAUGCAUGGUUUGAUAAUCAGGAUUUAGGCCUAUAUAUGUACUAGCACUCUAGCAUAAGAAAAACAGUCCCUAAUCCCUAGUAUCUAGUAUCUACAGACGAGAGCAGGAUAAACAAAGGAAAGAAUGGCGCUUGCAAUGUUAUCAGGCAUAGUAUGAUUUCCUGAGAGGUGAGAUAUAAAGGACGGAGCCUUUUGGGAAAUUUGAUGUACUGUUACGAACCUGAACUUCCAGCUGCAAGCAGCGGGCAAUGUACCUACUUACCUUACCUGUGUAGGAGUAGCAAGUAAAAGGGGAAAGAAACUGGUCCAGAGUAGAGCCACCCCCAUUAGGGUUUUGAGGCGACACGGUUUCCUGUGAAGAGCAGCUGGCCGAGGACAUUGCUGUUCACCCGCUGACCCGCAUGACGGAACCAGAAGGAUCCAGAAAAGCUACCGUAGAAAACAAAUGCUGGAUGGCUCAAGAAGUAGGGAUCGGAACCGGGUCCAUACGAGCUUCUGCCAAGCGAGGCUGUGGAACUUGCUUGCCACACUGAUUGCUGCAGAUCGAGCUACUGCAUCUUAGUAUUAUACGUACAAAAUACUGGUACGGUACAAGUAUGAAGUAUAGUUUUUUUUUUGAAACGGAGGCAAAAGCUUUGCCUCAUCCAUUAAAUAAGAGAGAAUAGAGUUUGUUACAAAUCACCCACGACACCACAUGGAUUAUUACAGUAUGAAGUAUAGUAGUAGCUCGAUCCUUCGUCCGGGGAAACUCGGAAGGAGCAGCAGCCUGCCGUGCAGCAACAUUCAUUCCAGUCAUGGGAGCAGUUACAUCUAGGAGCCUACUCCCUGCUGUAGGAGUAUGAGCAAAAAGCUGGAACAAAUUGAAGUGCAUGAACCGAGCCAAGGGGCAUCAUCAAUUGAGUCACCGGAUUCACGUCGCCGGCCACUGCGCCCGCCGCUGACGAGCAGCAGUAGGCCAGUAGGGCCCCGGGCUUUGACCGUCAGGCAAGGCCAUGCAUCGCAUUUACGCCGACAGCACGGGCGGCGUGUGUUGAAUUGAACCCGGCAACUGCAAGCAAGGCGCAAAGCAACAAGAAGAAAACCAGGGCGAGAGGGGCACAUGCAGAGGACGCAGGACAGGAGCAAUUGAUUAUGGUUUUGGGAGUGCGAUGCGGAGAAUGAAACAAGUUCCUCCAAAAGAAAAAGAAAAGGAAAGAAAAAGAAUGGCGACAACCAAUUAGUACGUAGAGAGAGUUCGGAGGGACUGUGCCCUCCCUUGGAUCCACGCUGCAAAUGGGCCGCAAAAUGGGCGAAGCUGCGACGAGACUUCCGGCGACCACAGUCCACAGCAUGGAGUACACUAUUUGCAACGUUUUCUAUUCCAGACCGAUCGCUCGUUUCCCUGCUCAUCUGCGUCUAGUUCCUUCCACGAUCCAUCCUUUGAGCGCGGCUCCGAUCAUGGAUGGUCCCGGCUGCCGACAUGGCUACGAAUCUACGACCAUGUUCGCGCACUGGAUGGGCGUGUGCGGUGCCGCCGAUGAGUACCGUACCGUACCGACGAACGGCCCAACGUGGUUCGCUCGCCUCGAUCUAUUGCUUGCUUGUUGCACAGAUGCACAUGCACUGAUGGGCACGCAACAUUGUUCCCUGGAAAGAAAGAUGGCGCCCAUCUGCUCUCAUUCUGCACUUUGACAGAGAUCAGUCUGCAAGCACACAUGCAUCCACGAGCCAACUGAUUCCGGCGGUGCGAUUUGCCUAAUCGUUCGGUUCCGAAAGCUUAAUAACGCGUGAUGCGUCCAUCGUGCACACGGAAAGAAAGAAACAUCUUUCGCUUUACCCCGGCCGUGUGACCGUGCCUGUAUGUACACACAACUGGCUAAGAAGACACUAGGGUGGGUGGAUCGGUGUCAGUCUAGCUAAGACACGCCCUCAUGCAAGGCUUACAAAGAAAAUAGGUGCAGAUCUCACCGUCGUGGGAAUGCCUAGAUCUACCUAACCAUCACCGAGCUUAUCUUUUUCGGUUGACCGUGCCAGCAGACGAUGCCGUUUUCAUGAGGGGUUGGGUUCGUCCGGUUCCGCCUAAUCUUAACCAGACAUCUACUGCACAUCACAUGCCUUGAAGCAUAGCCAUUUAGUACAACGGACAAUAUGCUUUUUCGACAUGGACAGCGUUGCAGGAGCAGGUAGAAAAUUUGACUCGUAAGAAAACUGGCCUUGGUGGAUUUGGAAGGCUUUAAAUUACGGUUCUAAUGUUUCCUCCUAAUAAUUUGGAUCAAAUCAGAAUUGACAGUGCGCUUCGUCCAACAAAUGAGGUACCUAGCAGCUUUUUUCAGCCAACUUCACAGUAAUUAGAUUCGCCAAAUGCCAUUGUAAACUUGAGAAGAAUGAGCCACCUCAUGGAAAAUAACAAAUUCACAAAAUCGCCGCAUAUGCCAAAAUUUAGUAGCAAAUGUAGCUUUCAUAAGCCUAUGUAAGUGAAGCAAGGCUGAGCAACAGCCAGUAACAAAAUGAACUACUGUUACUCAAACCUCUGUGAUCACCAUCUUCCAAAGGGGCAUAAUAUCAUGAGUCAAACGAAAAUUCUUGUCUGCCCACCGGACGUCUUUUGCGUGGAUUGGUUUCGCCCAGACUACCGACAAAAGCCCUCCCGCUGUCCCGCAACCGGAGAAUUCUUCCGUCCAAAAGAGAGCUACGAUGUCAAAGCCCACACUGCGUAGUUUGGUCCAAGCACACCAACCCACAGCUGCCGCGAAGACAAACAAGUCUUUUAAGGUCCAAGCCCACUAAAAAGGCAGGAAUGUUUUUUUUUCUUCUUUUUUGCGGAUGCAAAAAAAGAAAAAAAUAUCUAAAAAAUGCAAGAAAAGAAAAGAAAAGAAUGAGUGCCCAUUCCUUCAGAGAAAAACCAUUUUACAUAUUACUCCAUCUGUUAUAAAAUAUAAAAUGUUUUGGAUAUUUCAAUAUAGACUAUAUACGGACUGAAAUGAGUGAAUAAAUAAACUAAAAUGCGUCUAUACAUGCGAAUCACAAAAAGUUAAAACAUAUUAUAAUAGUGAACGGGGAAGUAAUAAUAUUUAUGUGGACACUUGCAAAGAGCAAGCCGAAAUAACUAACGCACCAAACGAAUUAGUUAACAAUGAAUUUUAUUCACCAGCUAAGAGGUGUUUUGGACAUAUCGCCAAAAUGCAUUGACGAUGCUUUUAAAAAAACGACAUUACUACUUGACACAAUGAUGACAAAACACAUAUUCAACACCAAAGCCACAUCAAAGUAAUGAAACACUGAUUUUUUUUUACCGAUAAUCUUGCCCACUACCUAUGUUCCAUCUUGAAAUGGCCCCCCUUCCAGGCAGAGGUAAUCGUUACCGCUGAAAAUGGUCAAAAUGAUUUUUCUUUUUGGAACUCCUCUUGGGUGGAUGGCCUACGACCAAAAGAUAUGGCUCCCACCAUUUUUGCCGUCUUUAAAAGGAAGUUUUUGAAUGUUCAUGAGACCCUACCUAAUAAUAGGUGGGUGGAUCAAGUCGACACAUUCAAUGGCCUCUCCAUGCAACAAUUAUAGAAGUUCGCCUUCUUGUCGAGCUACACGUCUAAUGUUCACCUUUCUAAUAAGUAGUUUGACUCCAUCUCUUGGAAGGUGCCCCCUCUCGGAACUACUCCGUGACCUCAGCAUACAAUGCCCCAUUCCUCACGAUAAUUCCAUCCAACAUGAAGCACAACAUUUGGAAAUUAACCCUCCCCCUCCGCCCCAAAUGCAAUAUCUUUGCUUGCCUCAGUAAUCAAAAUAGAGCUUUGAUGGUGCAUCACCCAGCCAAAUGCGGGUGGCCCAACUGCGACCAAUGCCCUCUUUGCAACUGCGUCCCAGAGACGGGGACACACAUGAUCUUUCAAUGAUGCUUAUCCAUACACAUUUGGAACAUGGUGAAGGAUUGGUUUGGCAUUCAUAUGCUUGACAUCGCCUCCUGGAAUGCAUUCGUCGACGUCAAGUCCUUGUGGGACUCUAUCAUACACCAUGACAUUUCUAGGCACAAGGCGAUGGCUCCCGUUGCCAUGUUGGUCACGUGGAGAGAUUUGGAACAAGCGUAACUCGCGUGUUUGUAACCACAAGCAGACCCCUCCACCGAUCUUCAUCCGAUGCAUCUGUCAUGAGGCCGCCUUGUGGGUUGCGGUCGGGGCUAAGCAUUUGGGUAUUGUCAUGCCAGAAGAGUAGGCACUUUCCUUCUUUUUUCGCACUCACAUAAUCGUUCUGUAACGCACUCUUCUUAAUUAAUGAAUCUGGCAAACCUUUUGCCACUUUUAAAAAG